CACUAGUGAUUCUUGGUCAUUUAGAGGAAGUAAAAGUCGUAACAAGGUCUCCGUUGGUGAACCAGCGGAGGGAUCAUUAAAGAGUUAUUACAACUCCCAAACCCAUGUGAACCUACCUUUGUUGCCUCGGCAGGUCUGCAGCUUACCCUGUGAGACCCUACCCUGUAGGGACCUUACCUAGUAGUUGCGGGUAAAACCUGCCGGUGGUCUACUAAACUCUGUUUACCAUGUUAUUCUGAAUAAUUAUAAGUAAAUAAGUUAAAACUUUCAACAACGGAUCUCUUGGUUCUGGCAUCGAUGAAGAACGCAGCGAAAUGCGAUAAGUAAUGUGAAUCGCAGAAUUCAGUGAAUCAUCGAAUCUUUGAACGCACAUUGCGCCCAUUAGUAUUCUAGUGGGCAUGCCUGUUCGAGCGUCAUUUCAACCAUCAGGCCGUGUCCAGGCUUGUGUUGGGGCUCUGCGGCUACCGCAGCCUCCUAAAUGCAGUGGCGGGCUCGCUGUUACCCCGAGCGCAGUAGCGUAUCUCGCUCUGGGCGUGGCGGCGAGUGCUAGCCGUGAAACACUCACUAAGGUUGACCUCAGAUCAGGCAGGAUUACCCGCUGAACUUAAGCAUAUCAAUA
rnacentral:rRNA from 1 species